rnacentral:rRNA from 1 species
GACGAACGCUGGCGGCGUGCUUAACACAUGCAAGUCGAACGCUGAAGCUUGGUGCUUGCACUGGGUGGAUGAGUGGCGAACGGGUGAGUAUCACGUGAGUAACCUGCCCCUGACUUCGGGAUAAGCCUGGGAAACUGGGUCUAAUACCGGAUAUGACCAUCUUUCGCAUGUUGGGUGGUGGAAAGUUUUUCGGUUGGGGAUGGGCUCGCGGCCUAUCAGUUUGUUGGUGGGGUAAUGGCCUACCAAGACGACGACGGGUAGCCGGCCUGAGAGGGCGACCGGCCACACUGGGACUGAGACACGGCCCAGACUCCUACGGGAGGCAGCAGUGGGGAAUAUUGCACAAUGGGGGAAACCCUGAUGCAGCGACGCCGCGUGGGGGAUGACGGCCUUCGGGUUGUAAACCUCUUUCAGUAGGGAAGAAGCCUUUGGGUGACGGUACCUGCAGAAGAAGUACCGGCUAACUACGUGCCAGCAGCCGCGGUAAUACGUAGGGUACAAGCGUUGUCCGGAAUUAUUGGGCGUAAAGAGCUCGUAGGUGGUUUGUCGCGUCUGCUGUGGAAUCGUGCCGCUUAACGGUGCGCGUGCAGUGGGUACGGGCAGACUGGAGUGCAGUAGGGGAGUCUGGAAUUCCUGGUGUAGCGGUGAAAUGCGCAGAUAUCAGGAGGAACACCGGUGGCGAAGGCGGGACUCUGGGCUGUUACUGACGCUGAGGAGCGAAAGCAUGGGGAGCGAACAGG